GCUUGUCUCAAAGAUUAAGCCAUGCAUGUCUAAGUAUAAACGAUUUUAUACGUGAAACUGCGAAUGGCUCAUUAUAUCAGUUAUAGUUUAUUUGAUGGUCCUUACUAUUUGGAUAACCGUAGUAAUUCUAGAGCUAAUACAUGCAUCAAGCCCUGACUUCGGAAGGGGUGUAUUUAUUAGAUGGAAACCAAUGCGGGGUAACCCGGUGUUUGGUGAUUCAUAAUAACUUUCGGAUCGCAUUUGCGAUGCAUCAUUCAAGUUUCUGCCCUAUCAGCUUUGGAUGGUAGGGUAUUGGCCUACCAUGGCAUUAACGGGUAACGGAGGAUUUGGGUUCGAUUCCGGAGAGGGAGCCUGAGAAAUGGCUACCACAUCCAAGGAAGGCAGCAGG
rnacentral:rRNA from 1 species